rnacentral:rRNA from 1 species
UACGUAGGGUGCAAGCGUUGUCCGGAAUUAUUGGGCGUAAAGAGCUCGUAGGCGGUUUGUUGCGUCGGCUGUGAAAUCCCGAGGCUCAACCUCGGGUCUGCAGUCGAUACGAGCAAACUAGAGUGUUGCAGGGGAGAAUGGAAUUCCUGGUGUAGCGGUGAAAUGCGCAGAUAUCAGGAGGAACACCGGUGGCGAAGGCGGUUCUCUGGGCAUUACCUGACGCUGAGGAGCGAAAGUGUGGGGAGCGAACAGG